rnacentral:tRNA from 1 species
GGCGGUGUAGCGCAGUGGGCACGGAACUGGGCUCGGAACCUAAAGGUCGCAGGUUCGAUUCCUAGGUAGGACACUGCCG